rnacentral:rRNA from 1 species
GUACCACGGGACACGUGAAACCCUGUGGGAAGCAGGAGGGACCACCCUCCAAGGCUAAAUACUACCUAGUGACCGAUAGCGUAUAGUACCGUGAGGGAAAGGGGAAAAGAACCCCGGGAGGGGAGUGAAAUAGAACCUGAAACCCUGCACUUACAAGCUGUGGAAGCACAUUUCUUGUGUGACCGCGUACUUUUUGUAGAACGGG